GAUGAACGCUGACAGAAUGCUUAACACAUGCAAGUCUUUGGUGAAGCUGUGCUUGCACAGCCUAGCCAAGGCGGACGGGUGAGUAACGCGUAAGGAACUUGCUCUGCAGUCAGGGAUAACAGACGGAAACGACUGAUAAGACCUGGUAAAGUCAGGCGGACUCAUGUCCAGCCUGAUGAAAAGAGAUGCUGCAGGAGAGCCUUGCGUCCUAUUAGCUUGUUGGUGGGGUAACGGCCCACCAAGGCAAUGAUAGGUAGCCGGCCUGAGAGGGUGGACGGCCACAAGGGGACUGAGAUACGGCCCUUACGCCUACGAGAGGCAGCAGUGGGGAAUAUUGGACAAGGGAGGCAACCCUGAUCCAGCAAUUCUGUGUGCACGAUGAAGGUUUUCGGAGUGUAAAGGGCUUUCAGCAGGGAAGAAAAAAAUGACGGUACCUGCAGAAGAAGCGACGGCUAAAUACGUG
rnacentral:rRNA from 1 species